UGCGAGUAGAAUGUUCUAGAAAGAUUCUGAACAUGGGAUUUUCAGUUUUAAGUGUAGUCGUGUAAGGUUUAAAUUACUAUGAGUAUUUUAUGGUGAAAAAAGGGGGAUGAUGCAGUCCCUCAUCCCACUGGACAUGGUAUAGAAUGUUCUAGAAAGAAUUUCAUCACAGAACUUUCUGCCUUAAAUGCAUUUGUUGAAGGUUUAAAGUUCUUUAUCAUCAGGUAAGGGAUAUUGCAUCCCCUCACCCCGCUGGUGUAGUGUCAUGCGCGUCGCCCGAAGCUGGUUCUAGUGUCGAGUCGCGGCUCUGGUCCAGUGCGCCGCCCGCCGUCUGCCGCGCAUGACGGACUGCUGCUCACAGCCGCCGCCGGCCCCGAGGGCUCUGCAGCCCUACUGGACCGCAGACCACACUCUCAUUAAGGUUGGUGCUUUAUAAAUUUAGAUUUUCAAACCAAUCUGACCAUAGAAUCUGAAGAAUCAGUUGAAUUAAGACUCAAAUUCGUUUAAAUAUUAUGUUUUCAUUACAAUGGUUUCAUUUUUUUGUUUCAGCUUCCACCUAUACGAGCGCCGUCGGCAGAGCGCUGCGGGAGCGCCAGGCUCUGCAGCGCGCUGCAGCGAGCGUUCGCGUUGACGAUGCCUGAGAGGGGCCGCGCCGCCCGGCACAUGCUCCUCACGUCCUCGUGUGUUGGCUAAGCUGAUGACGGCCUGGAGGGUCACCCCCGCGAGGUGACUGGGGCAGGCGCGAGUCCAAUGGAGGGGGUCACGGGGACAAGGGCUUUUGAGACCUGGGGCCCGUCGUUACAGUUCAUGUUCCUUUGAUCUUCUCCCAAAGUGUCAUCUUGGGUCCGUGCCUGACCUCUUAGGUUAAGAUGUAAUAGGUUAAGAAAUAAAAGAAUCACAGAGUAGAGAUAACAUUUCACGUCUGAAAAUUAUACGAUUAUGGUACAUAUAAA